UCCAAAGAAACAAAGAAGGACAUCAAAAAAUAAUAGAUUCAUUCACAGGGAAUCUAUGACAAAUUUGUGUGUGUGUGUGUGUGUGUGUGUGUGUGUGUCUCACAUUAGGGUUCCAAGUAUAUAAAGCAAAUAUUGACAGAAUGGAAGAAACACACAGAAAGCAAUAUAAUUAGAACAAUAUAUUUUAAUACCACACUUUUUGUAAUAAAACUAAAACAAGAAAGAAUGUUAAUAAAAGAACAGACUACUUAAAGGCAGUAUAAAACAAUUAUUCCAAACAGAGUUAUGGAGAACACUCCUCAACAACAUCAGAAUACACACCCUUCUCAAUAGCUCAUACAACAUUUCCCUUGAAAGACCACAUCUUAGGACAAAAAGGAAGUCUUAUCAAAUUCUAGCAAUAUGUUGCAUGACAAUGUCAAGAUAAUUGAUAUGACUAAAUAUUUAAAAAUAUUUUGUGGUAAAUUUUGUUUUUUUUUGACAAGAAAUAAACAAUAAUAACUAAAAGAGAUACAGAGUUAUGAUAGUUUUAAAUUAUAUUCAAAUCCAAAAGUGUUUCUCCCACACAGAAAUCAUAUAGAUUUAC
rnacentral:lncRNA from 10 species